CCUACGGGAGGCUGCAGUGAGGAAUAUUGGUCAAUGGCCGCAGGGCUGAACCAGCCAAGUCGCGUGAGGGAUGACGGUCCUAUGGAUUGUAAACCUCUUUUGUCAGGGAGCAAAGGGCGCCACGUGUGGCGCUUUGCGAGUACCUGAAGAAAAAGCAUCGGCUAACUCCGGGCCAGCAGCCGCGGUAAUACGGAGGAUGCGAGCGUUAUCCGGAUUUAUUGGGUUUAAAGGGUGCGCAGGCGGAAUGUCAAGUCAGCGGUAAAAUUUCGGGGCUCAACCCCGUCGUGCCGUUGAAACUGGCGUUCUUGAGUGAGCGAGAAGUAUGCGGAAUGCGUGGUGUAGCGGUGAAAUGCAUAGAUAUCACGAAGAACUCCGAUUGCGAAGGCAGCAUACCGGCGCUCAACUGACGCUCAUGCACGAAAGCGUGGGUAUCGAACAGGAUUAGAUACCCCUGUAGUC
rnacentral:rRNA from 1 species